rnacentral:antisense_RNA from 1 species
UGAAAAGAAGAGUCCAGUGUGUUAUGAGGAAAACCCCAAGAGCAUGCUGCCUUACAAGACAGGUGAAAAAUGUGUUCUGUGAAAGAAAGAGUAAUUAACUGUUAAAUGUUACAGACUGAUCAAAUAAAAUGAAGACUGAGAAUGGCCUGUUUGUAAGAUCACUUUUAAAAGGAAAACAUAGGAGCCUGAAACUGAAGUGGGGAACAAAUAUUUACUCAAACUAAGAGAUUAAACUCAGUAGCCAGCAACAAGAGAUCAAGUGAUGAUUAAUUUUAUGUGUUAACUUAGCUGGGCUGUGUUGCCCAGAUAGUUGGUUAAACAUUCUGGAUGUUUCUGUGAAGAUGUUUUUGGAUGAGAUUAACAUUUAGAUUGGUGGGCUUUGAGUAAAGCAGAUUACCUUUCAUAAUUUGGGUGGGCCUCAUCCAAUCAGUUGAACGUCUGAAGAGACCAAAAGACUGACCUUCUGCAAGCAAAGAAAAAUUCCGCCAACAGCCAGCCAUUGGACUUGAAUUUCAACAUUGACUCUUGAGUCUAUUGGCCCACCCUGCAAAUUUUGGACUUGCCAGUAAGUGUCUGUAAUCUAGUGAGGCAAUUUCGUUCUUUUUUUUUUUUUGAGAUGGAGUUUUGCUCUUGUUGUCCAGGCUGGAGUGCAAUGGUGCGAUCUCAGCUCACCGCAACCUCUGCCUCCCAGGUUCAAGUGAUUCUUCUGCCUCAGCCUCCUGAGUAGCUGGGAUUACAGGCAUGUGCCACCACUCCUGGCUAAUUUUGUAUUUUUAGUAGAGAUGGGGUUUCUCCAUAUUGGUCAGGCUGGUCUCAAAUUUCCAACCUCAGGUGAUCCACCCGCCUUGGCCUCCCAAAGUGCUGGGAUUACAGGUGUGAGCCACCGUUCCUGGCCUAAUUUCUUUCUUUCUUUUUUUUUGAGAUGGAGUUUUGCUCUUGUUGCCCAGAAUGGAGUGCAAUGUGGCGGGAUGUUGGCUCACUGCAACCUCCACCUCCUGGCCUCCUUAGUAGCUGGGAUUACAGGCGCCUGCUACCACGCCCAGCUAAUUUUUGUAUUUUUAGUAGAGAUGGGGUUUCACCAUGUUGGCCAGGCUGGUCUCAAACUUCUGACCUUACAUGAUCUGCCCGCUUUGGCCUCCCAAAGUGCUGGGAUUACAGGCGUGAGCCACCAUGCCUAGCUGGGUAGUUUAUUUUGACUUGACUUCAGGCUCACCAAUCCCUUUGGCUGCAAUUCUAAGAUAGAAAAGGACAUAAAAAACAUAGAAAUAGGAUUGAAACUGUAAAUUAGCCUUAGAAUAGAGAGAUAUUAUCAUUCCCUAGCAAUCAGUAUUCAAAGCAAGAUCCAAACAUGUAAUUAGUCAUUUAUGUAUCUAAGCUAUUUGUAUGUAUGAUACAAGUUUUCACACACAAAUUUCUUCUUUCUUUCUUUUUUUUUUUUUUUGAAAGAGGCAGGGUUUCACGACAUUGCCCAGGCUGGUCUUGAGCUCAAGUGAUCCACCCGCCUUGGCCUCCCAAAGUGCUGAGAUUACAGGCAUGAGCCACAGUGCCUGGCCCAAAUUAUUGUAGUUAUUUCCAAUUCCUUUCCCCCUUCUCACAUCCCAAUUAAAGAAUUCCACUCAGGAA